rnacentral:rRNA from 1 species
AGUGAACGCUGGCGGUAGGCCUAACACAUGCAAGUCGAACGGCAGCACAGUAAGAGCUUGCUCUUACGGGUGGCGAGUGGCGGACGGGUGAGGCAUACAUCGGAAUCUACUUUUUCGUGGGGGAUAACGUAGGGAAACUUACGCUAAUACCGCAUACGACCUACGGGUGAAAGCAGGGGAUCUUCGGACCUUGCGCGAUUGAAUGAGCCGAUGUCGGAUUAGCUAGUUGGCGGGGUAAAGGCCCACCAAGGCGACGAUCCGUAGCUGGUCUGAGAGGAUGAUCAGCCAAACGGGAACUGAGACACGGUCCAGACUCCUACGGGAGGCAGCAGUGGGGAAUAUUGGACAAUGGGCGCAAGCCUGAUCCAGCCAGACCGCGUGGGUGAAGAAGGCCUUCGGGUUGUAAAGCCCUUUUGUUGGGAAAGAAAAGCAGCAGGGUAAUACCCCGCGGUUCUGACGGUACCAAAAGAAUAAGCACCGGCUAACUUCGU